rnacentral:lncRNA from 1 species
UUCCCAUGGGAACCUAGAGAAGGACUUUCCCUAUAUUCCCCACCUCUUUGGGCUUCAGCAAAAGAAAAUGGACCUCAAGGGAGUCUUCAAGAGCUGCUUCAAAAUUUACUGUUCAUCAAAGCACUUGCUGAAGACUGGCUUCAUUUCAGAGGCUGUGCUGUGUUAUGGAGAAGGAGGUGAAGGAGAUACGGUGCUUACCAUGAAGGAGAGGUGGCCACAUGAAUGCAUCGUUUUAAUACAGUGCAAUAAGUGAGGUCCAUAGAGAGACCCAAGUGAUGAUAGCAACCAACCAUUCAAGAGGGAGAGGAAAGUGGCCAAAUGUGAAGCUUUAUGAUUGAAGGUACUUUAUGCCCCGGGCUGCCUUCUGGAUCAGAAAGAUACUCAAAGCUAUAAAGUUCACACAAAGCCAGGCUUUGUUAUCACCGGAGUGUGCAGAAGGGCACUAGCCCUGAGUAUGUGCCACCUCGUACGCCUCUCACAUGCUUCUCCGUUUUCCCUACUUCACUUUCCUGGGUUCAUUCCAAGACGGAGAAUGGAAGAAACCAGAGCUAAACUUGUGUGCCUGCAGUCCAGCUGUCGUGCCUGGAGAGACCUCUCUUCCAUGAUCAUCCAGGGUGAAUUAGACCAGGUCCUCCUGAGACCAGCAGCGUGGAUGUUGUAUAUCCAAAAGGACCCUGUGGGCAUUGAAAUCCAACUCACUCAUGCUUAUUUCCUGUAAUGGACAAACUUGAUGCUAAUGUGAGUUCUGAGGAGGGUUUCGGGUCAGUGGAGAAGGUGGUGCUGCUCACGUUUCUCUCGACGGUUAUCCUGAUGGCCAUCUUGGGGAACCUGCUGGUGAUGGUGGCUGUGUGCUGGGACAGGCAGCUCAG